rnacentral:rRNA from 1 species
GAUGAACGCUAGCGGCAGGCUUAAUACAUGCAAGUCGAGGGGCAGCAUGACUGUAGCAAUACAGUUGAUGGCGACCGGCAAACGGGUGCGGAACACGUACGUAACCUACCCAAAACUGAGGAAUAGCCCGGGGAAACCCGGAUUAAUACCUCGUAACAUAAUUGAGUGGCAUCAUUUAAUUAUUAUAGCUCCGGCGGUUUUGGAUGGGCGUGCGCCUGAUUAGAUAGUUGGCGGGGAACGGCCCACCAAGUCUGCGAUCAGUAACUGGUGUGAGAGCACGACCAGUCACACGGGCACUGAGACACGGGCCCGACUCCUACGGGAGGCAGCAGUAAGGAAUAUUGGUCAAUAGGACGCAAGUCUGAACCAGCAUGCCGCGUGAAGGAUGAAGGUCCUCUGGA